UAUUAUGGGCGAAGAGCAGAGGUUCACGUAUAUGCAGAUGCUCAAGAGCAUUUACGGUUAAGGGUUUGGAGCAGGUGAGCAGAGGUACAAACAUCACAGAAAAGAGGUUGUCCUAGGCAGACAUUCACAAUGCGUCUCCAGUGCUCCAAGCCUCCCCUUUUUACUUCCUUUAUCCCUUUUAUUUUUUCCCCUAGAAACAAAUACUUGGAUUUCUUUCCCUGGUCAACAAAUACUUGGAUUUCUUUCCCUGGUCUCUCCAAUCAGAAGUGAAACCUAUUCCGUAAGCUUUGUUUACUAAUUCAUCCUUCACACCUGGAACAUUCCUCAGUGUAAAGCUGUGGCAUAUGGUAGGUUAAUCAUUCUUCCCAAGUUGGAGCAGGCUGGUCAGGAGUCCAGGCAGCCUCCAGCUACCUUGGAACAUAAUCAGUCCCCGUUUGUCUGCAUUUACAAAAUAGCUGCACAGCAGUAUGCCUUUGAGUGAGUAUUCAUGAGAUCCCUAAAGAACACUGCUUUCUUUGUCUCACUGCAGGAAAAAAAAAAUUCUCAACAAAACUCAGGCUUGCCAAGUGCCACAAUUUCCCUCCUUCUCAUGCCCUGUCAUAUAAAGUCAGUUCAAGAUCCACUUUUCAGCCACAGCUGACAGGGCCCAGGUCCCUAUGUAUCUACCAGACCUUGUGACCAUUGCCUGUGAGUAGAGCUUCUGAUGGACCAGGUCCAGCUUAACUGCUAAUGAGAAGAGUCACAUCGCAGUCACAAGAAAAUGCUCCAGAUGUGUCUGGACAUGCAAAACAUGCUGGAGCAUGGCAUAAAUAGUGAAGACUUUAAAGACGUUCUCUUCAAUAAAAUGUAUAUAAUUUACCUCUCUCCUCCUCUUUAUCCCAUAAAUACAAAGAGUAUAAAUUAGGUUGAAGGAGAUGACAGAUGGUCUCAGAGAAAAAAAUGUGAACAGUUCUCUGUUUUCAUUUGGGCAAACAAGAUGAGGGAAGCUCACACCACAGCAUAUGAAGGACAGUAAAUACUAUAGUAGUACAUGAUCUGCAUUGGUUGAAUCCAUGGAUGCCAAACCCUGGAUAUAGCAGAACCCAAAGACAGAAGCCCAACUAUAAGUUGAUUGAAUUUUUGACUGUGUGGAGAGUUGACACCUCUAACCCUUCCUCCCUCCAUCCCUCGUGGUUGUUGAAGGUUCAACCCUAAUGUGCUUCUGGUCAGUGACAAGUGACACUUUGGAUGUACCUAUUAGAGAAGACUAUUGGCUCUCAACCAGAAUGUUUUCUAAACUCUUCCAUAUACAAGGAAAAAAAUAUCAAAUAAAAAUGGGUAUGGAAAAGGUUAUGCCAGAAACAUUCUGAAAAAAUAUUCAGGAUCAAAAAGGUGGGAAAAUGAGGAUAAAAGUAAAAUAUGAUACGCCCAGGGAUUAUGUUACUGGACCAUCACAGCCUCCAAUUUGUACCUAUUCUUUGAAGCCAGAAAAAGAAAUAAACAUAUUAAGUUA